GUUUUCCUUCGGGACAGAGGUGACAGGUGGUGCAUGGUUGUCGUCAGCUCGUGUCGUGAGAUGUUGGGUUAAGUCCCGCAACGAGCGCAACCCCUAUUGUUAGUUGCCAUCAUUUAGUUGGGCACUCUAGCGAGACUGCCGGUAAUAAACCGGAGGAAGGUGGGGAUGACGUCAAAUCAUCAUGCCCCUUAUGACCUGGGCUACACACGUGCUACAAUGGCUGGUACAACGAGUCGCAAGCCGGUGACGGCAAGCUAACCUCUUAAAGCCAGUCUCAGUUCGGAUUGUAGGCUGCAACUCGCCUACAUGAAGUCGGAAUCGCUAGUAAUCGCGGAUCAGCACGCCGCGGUGAAUACGUUCCCGGGCCUUGUACACACCGCCCGUCACACCACGAGAGUUUGUAACACCCGAAGUCGGUGAGGUAACCGUAAGGAGCCAGCCGCCUAAGGUGGGAUAGAUGAUUGGGGUGAAGUCGUAACAAGGUAACC
rnacentral:rRNA from 1 species